rnacentral:rRNA from 1 species
GAUGAACGCUGGCGGCGUGCCUAAUACAUGCAAGUCGAGCGGCAGCGCGGUCUUCGGACUGGCGGCGAGCGGCGGACGGCUGAGUAACGCGUGGGAACGUACCUUAAAGUGAGGGAUAACUGCUCGAAAGAGUAGCUAAUACCGCAUGUGCCCUACGGAGUAAAGAUUUAUCGCUUUAAGAACGGCCUGCGUCGGAUUAGUUAGUUGGUGAGGUAACGGCUCACCAAGACGAUGAUCAGUAGCUGGUCUGAGAGGAUGACCAGCCAGACUGGAACUGGGACACGGUCCAGACGCCUACGGGAGGCAGCAGUAGGGAAUUUUCCACAAUGGGGGCAACCCUGAUGGAGCAACGCCGCGUGCAGGAUGACGGCCUUCGGGUUGUAAACUGCUUUUAUGUAUGAAGAGUAUGACGGUAGUACAUGAAUAAGGACCUGCUAACUACGUGCCAGCAGCCGCCGUAA